AGUCCUGCGGCACAUCUCCAAUGGCUCCCACUGCCAAGGGCAUGCCCCAGCCGUGCAUCAAAGACCUCCCCCUGGAAUCAUACGCAGAUCUCCUGCCCUCCUCCAACUCUGCCCUGGCACACGCCGCCCCCCACCUGGUGGGCCCCCUCAUUCCUCGGAGGCAUCCUCUGCUCACCUCCGCCUCCCCGGCCAUUGGACCGUGCGGGCAGAACCCGUGGACUGGACCCACGGCCUCAGCCGAAACGCGUCCCGGGCGCGGAAACCCUCGGCCGCCGUGGAACCUUCCCGGGAAGCUCUCCCCGCGCGGGUGAAAUGCGUCCGAAGACAGGGAACCGCUUCCCGGAGCCGCUGGGAAGGAGGACGGUACGGAGGCCCGGGAGACCCACGGCGCCUGUCCGCGAGCGAUAAGUCUGAGGAAGAUGGAGCCACUCGCCGGUGGGGCACGGCGCGUGGAAGGCGCGGCAAAGGUCCCUGCCCUUCACCUCGCGCAGGGGAUCGCGAGGAAGUCACCCCGGCCCACGCAGAGCUGCCUGAGGCGCCGGGACAGCCUUCCCGCCGAGGACUGCGGACUGCCGGGCAACGCCGGAACUCCCGGAACUCCCGUGGCCCGCGCCUCCCCUCGCUCGGCGCCCCUCACGCCACGACCUCCAUUCCCGGCUCUCCUCGCGGCGCGGCUGGGUCGUUGCCAAGGCGAUAAGGGAGGGCGCCGCUAGCUCCUGAAGCGGGACGUGAACUACAUUUCCCAUAAGGAGCCUCGACGUGGGGCCGUUCAGACUUGGCCAAUGGCGGCCCAGGAACGGGAACGUUCGGGCGGGCCCUGCGUGGGGCGGGGCUUCCGGCGUCGGCUUUCGGCGCUGGCUUUGGGGCGGUUUGCGGCAGUGGGAUCAUUGGGCGGUGGGCGGUGUGGAGGAGUCUCCGCUGGUCCGCAGAAACGAACGAAGGCGCGAGAAUCGGGAAGUUCUGCCUCAGUGACCUGUACGCGUCCUAGCCGCAGUGAAUGUUGCUGAACCCCGGUGACCUCACAGUGGAGGGGCGGCCCCAUGGGGCCAUCGGACCGCGCCGCGCGGGGGCGUUCGCCAGGGCCUCCGCAGAAGCCCGCCUGUGCCCGCAACCGCCCCGAAAUUCUCUCCCUGGCACCGUGUCCGCUUUACGGAGCCCGGAGCAAGGCUCAGAAAAAUGUCCCAGCCAAAAACAUGUCGCUGUUGGUCGUGGCACUGAGGCCCAGAUCAUGCCACCUCCUCUAACAAGUGGCUGAGUGGACACCCCACACAUUCUACCCAAGGGCCGUGAGUGGCCAAGAUCGGGGCUCAGAAGUCUCUGAAUCUUCACAGCUGGUCACGUUCAGCUCGGUCACUUCCUGUCUGUGUUUGUCUUGGAGUAAGGAUUAUUCUCGCUUGCUGGGGUCAUGGUGUUUUGGCCUCUCCUGGCCUGGACUCUCAAAAACUCAUCAUCCUUCAUAGGUCUGAAGGCUUCUACAUUCCCACCAGCAGGUGGACCAUAUGAACUCAAAACUAGUUGUGGCAGAGGGACCCUGAAGAGAUCUACCCCUGGUGAAUGCCCCCAGGAGUGGGCUGUUCUCACACCUGGUGCCCAGCCUGUGCCCUCGCAGGUCUUGGUGCCUCCACUCAGCUCAAUUCCAGUUUUCUGGCCAUGCCCCGCUGUGUCCCUUUCUCUCUCCUUAGUGCCUAGCUGUGCAAUGUUUGCCUCUCCUUAACAUGUCCUCAGCUGACCCCAUAUCCUCAGUCCUUGCAACCCUGUUCCUCAGUGACACCUGUGUAUUCUCUCCAGUGGAGACACAGGUGGGACACCCCCAAGCUCAUGGUACAUGCCUGUCAUCAGUACCCCUGGACUGUCAUGGUGGGUCAGUCUGCCCUAGGCUGGACUGACCAACCUGUUCAUUCCCCCACAGGAUUGCCCUUUACAGUUCAUGAGUUCCCCCAACUGGAGUGCAGACAAGAGCACUGAUUGAUGGACCAGGUAGACUUGAAACCAGGAAUAGCACAAAAGUUAUCAAAGAGGCUCAGCCAUGGAGAUUGCAAGCUGGGGAUGGAAGUAUCCCUGGAAUUGAGCUGUUCUCACACCUGGUACCUGAGUUAUACCCCUGGUGUCUGGGUACCAAGGUCACUAGCCUUGCCACUUUUCUAUGUUCCUGAUCCCCUACUAAACAGUCCACCUUUUCGCCUACUUCCCCUGACUCCUGUACCCUGUCCCCUCUUUCUGCCUAGUUUGAAGACACUGGUCAUCCCAUAACAUGUCCUGGGCUAAUACAUAUCCUCAAAUCGUUCUUGAAAAUCUGUUCCUCUUCCCUCCUCCCCCUCCCCCUCCCCCCCCCCCCGCUCUUUCCACGGUCUCCCUCUGAUGCCGAGCCGAAGCUGGACGGUACUGCUGCCAUCUCGGCUCACUGCAACCUCCCUGCCUGAUUCUCUUGCCUCAGCCUGCCGAGUGCCUGCGAUUGCAGGCGCGUGCCGCCACGCCUGACUGGUUUUCGUAUUUUUUUUGGUGGAGACGGGGUUUCGCUGUGUUGGCCGGGCUGGUCUCCAGCUCCUAACCACGAGUGAUCCGCCAGCCUCGGCCUCCCGAGGUGCCGGGAUUGCAGACGGAGUCUCGUUCAUUCAGUGCUCAAUGGUGUCCAGGCUGGAGUGCAGUGGCGUGAUCUCGGCUCGCUACAACCUCCACCUCCCAGCAACCCGCCUUGGCCUCCCAAAGUGCCGAGAUUGCAGCCUCUGCCCGGCGGCCACCCCGUCUGGGAAGUGAGGAGCGUCUCCGCCUGGCCGCCCAUCAUCUGGGAUGUGAGGAGCCCCUCUGCCUGGCUGCCCAGUCUGGAAAGUGAGGAGCGUCUCUGCCCGGCCGCCAUCCCAUCUAGGAAGUGAGGAGCGCCUCUUCCCGGCCGCCAUCACAUCUGGGAAGUGAGGAGCGUCUCUGCCCGGCCGCCCAUCGUCUGAGAUGUGGGGAGCAUCUCUGCCCUGCCGCCCCGUCCGGGAUGUGAGGAGCGUCUCUGCCCGGCCGCCCCGUCUGAGAAGUGAGGAGACCCUCUGCCUGGCAACUGCCCCGUCUGAGAAGUGAGGAGCCCCUCCGCCCGGCAGCCGCCCCGUCUGAGAAGUGAGGAGCCCCUCCGCCCAGCAGCCACCCCGUCUGGGAAGUGAGGAGCAUCUCCGCCCGGCAGCCGCCCCGUCUGAGAAGUGAGGAGCCUCUCCGCCCAGCAGCCACCUCGUCCGGGAGGGAGGUGGGGGGGUCAGCCCCCCGCCCGGCCAGCCGCCCCGUCCGGGAGGGAGGUGGGGGGAUCAGUCCCCCACCCGGCCAGCCGCCCUGUCCGGGAGAUGAGGGGCGCCUCUGCCCGGCCGCCCCUACUGGGAAGUGAGGAGCCCUUCUGCCCGGCCAGCCGCUCCGUCCGGGAGGGAGGUGGGGGGGUCAGCCCCCCGCCCGGCCAGCCGCCCUGUCCGGAAGGGAGGUGGGGGGGUCAGCCCCCCGCGCGGCCAGCCGACCCGUCCGGGAGGGAGGUGGGGGGGUCAGCCCCCUGCCCGGCCAGCCGCCCCGUCCGGGAGGUGCGGGGCGCCUCUGCCCGGCCGCCCCUACUGGGAAGUGAGGAGCCCCUCUGCCCGGCCAGCCGCCCCAUCUGGGAGGGAGGUGGGGGGGUCAGCCCCCCGCCCUGCCAGCCGCCCUGUCCGGGAGGGAGGUGGGGGGGUCAGCCCCCCGCCUGGCCAGCCACCCCGUCCGGGAGGUGAGGGGCGCCUCUGCCCGGCCGCCCCUACUGGGAAGUGAGGAGCCCCUCUGCCUGGCCAGCCGCCCCGUCCAGGAGGGAGGUGGGGGGGGGGGUCAGCCCCCCGCCUGGCGAGCCGCCCUGUCCGGGAGGUGAGGGGCGCCUCUGCCCGGCCGCCCCUACUGGGAAAUGAGGAGCCCCUCUGCCCGGCCACCACCCCAUCUGGGAGGUGUACCCAACAGCUCGUUGAGAACGGGCCAUGAUGACAAUGGCGGUUUUGUGGAAUAGAAAGGGGGGAAAGAUGGGGAAAAGAUUGAGAAAUCGGAUGGUUGCCGUGUCUGUGUAGAAAGAGGUAGACGUGGGAGACUUUUCAUUUUGUUCUGUACUAAGAAAAAUUCUUCUGCCUUGGGAUCCUGUUGAUCUGUGACCUUACCCCCAACCCUGUGCUCUCUGAAACAUGUGCUGUAUCCACUCAGGGUUGAAUGGAUUAAGGGCGGU
rnacentral:lncRNA from 1 species